AUCCCCAAGCAUGCCUGGGAAUGACACAUGCUUUCCCUAACACCUCUGAUAUACCUCACUCGCAGGUACUCCUCACUCAUAAGAUAGGUGCUCCUCACUCACAGGUGCUUCUUGCAGGUGCUCCUCACUCAUAGAUGCUCCUCACUCAUAGGUGCUCCUCACUCAUAGGAUAGGUGCUCCUCACUCACAGGUGCUCCACAUAGGAUAGGUGGUCCUCACAGG
rnacentral:lncRNA from 1 species